UACGUAGGGUGCAAGCGUUAAUCGGAAUUACUGGGCGUAAAGCGUGCGCAGGCGGCUUGCAAGACAGAUGUGAAAUCCCCGGGCUUAACCUGGGAACUGCAUUUGUGACUGCAUGGCUGGAGUGCGGCAGAGGGGGAUGGAAUUCCGCGUGUAGCAGUGAAAUGCGUAGAGAUGUGGAGGAACACCGAUGGCGAAGGCGGCCUCCUGGCUUAAUACUGACGCUGAGGUGCGAAAGCGUGGGGAGCAAACAGG
rnacentral:rRNA from 1 species